rnacentral:rRNA from 1 species
UCUGAGAUAAGCCUGGCAGACUGGGUCUAAUAGCGGAUAUGACCAACUAUCGCAUGGUGGUUGGUGGAAAGCUUUUGCGGUGUGGGAUGCGCCCGCGGCCUAUCAGCUUGUUGGUGGGGUAAUGGCCUACCAAGGCGACGACGGGUAGCCGACCUGAGAGGGUGAUCGGCCACACUGGGACUGAGACACGGCCCACAAUCAUACGGGAGGCAGCAGUGGGGAAUAUUGCACAAUGGGCGCAAGCCUGAUGCAGCGACGCCGCUUGAGGAAUGACGGCCUUCGGGUUGUAAACCUCUUUCACCAGGGACGAGGCGUAAGUGACGGUCCCUGGAGAAGAAGCACCGCCCAACUACGUGCCAGCCGCCGCGGUAUUGCGUAGGGUGCUAGCGUUGUCCGGAAUUACUGGGCGUAAGGAGCUCGUAGGCGGUUUGUCGCGUCGUCGGUGAAAUUCUGCAACUCAAUUGCAGGCGUGCAGGCGAUACGGGCAGACUUGAGUACUACGGGGGAGACUGUAAUUCCUGGUGUAGCGGUGAAAUGCGCAGAUAUGAGGAGGAACACCGGUGGCGAAGGCGGCUCUCUGGGUAGUAACUGACGCUGAGGAGCGAAGCUAGGGUGGUGAACAGGAUAGAUACACUGAUAGCCACGCCGUAACGUUGGGUCUAGGUGUGGCUUCUUUUCACGGGUCCGCGCGUCACUAACG